AGCUGCACAACAAGACGAGGCUGGUCAUUGUCAUUUUCUGAGCUAUGAACGGGCAGGAAGCUGCACAACGGGAUGAGGCUGGUCAUUGUCAUUUUCUGAGCUGUGAACGGGCAGGAAGCUGCACAACGAGAUGAGGCUGGUCAUUGUCAUUUUCUGAGCUGUGAACGGGCAGGAAGGUGAGAAAAUGUCGGAUUUUGACCAUUUGUGCUGACCUUUGAAUUUCAAUGUACCUCUCUAUAACAUGACCCAGCUGUAAUGUCAGUGAUCGCAUUGAUUUGAUUUUUGG